GCAUUGGUGGUUCAGUGGAAGAAUUCUCGCCUGCCACAUGGGUGGUCCAGGUUCUUUUUCUGGCCAGUGCA